rnacentral:rRNA from 1 species
AGCGAACGCUGGCGGCAGGCCUAACGCAUGCAAGUCGAACGAAGCCUUCGGGCUUAGUGGCGGACGGGUGAGUAACACGUGGGAACGUACCUUUAGGUUCGGAACAACUCAGGGAAACUUGAGCUAAUACCGGAUAAGCCCUUCGGGGGAAAGAUUUAUCGCCUUUAGAGCGGCCCGCGUUGGAUUAGCUAGUUGGUGAGAUAAAGGCUCACCAAGGCUACGAUCUAUAGCUGGUCUGAGAGGACGAUCAGCCACACUGGGACUGAGACACGGCCCAGACUCCUACGGGAGGCAGCAGUGGGGAAUCUUGCGCAAUGGGCGAAAGCCUGACGCAGCCAUGCCGCGUGAAUGAUGAAGGUCUUAGGAUUGUAAAAUUCUUUUACCAGGGACGAUAAUGACGGUACCUGGAGAAAAAGCCCCGGCUAACUUCGUGCCAGCAGCCCGCCGUAA